UAGGGAAUCUUCGGCAAUGGACGGAAGUCUGACCGAGCAACGCCGCGUGAGUGAAGAAGGUUUUCGGAUCGUAAAGCUCUGUUGUUAGAGAAGAACGUUGGUAGGAGUGGAAAAUCUACCAAGUGACGGUAACUAACCAGAAAGGGACGGCUAACUACGUGCCAGCAGCCGCGGUAAUACGUAGGUCCCGAGCGUUGUCCGGAUUUAUUGGGCGUAAAGCGAGCGCAGGCGGUUCUUUAAGUCUGAAGUUAAAGGCAGUGGCUUAACCAUUAUACGCUUUGGAAACUGGAGGACUUGAGUGCAGAAGGGGAGAGUGGAAUUCCAUGUGUAGCGGUGAAAUGCGUAGAUAUAUGGAGGAACACCGGUGGCGAAAGCGGCUCUCUGGUCUGUAACUGACGCUGAGGCUCGAAAGCGUGGGGAGCAAACAGG
rnacentral:rRNA from 1 species